AUGCUCACCUGGCAGCACACAAACUAAAAUUAGAACAAUACAGAGAUUAGUGUGGUCCCUGCACAAUGCUGACACACAAAUUUGUGAAGCGUUCCACGUUAUU